rnacentral:tRNA from 2 species
UCCCCUGUAGCUCAGCGGUAGAGCAGCUCGCUGUUAACGAGAAGGUCGCUGGUUCGAAUCCAGCCGGGGGAGCCA